rnacentral:tRNA from 1 species
GCGCUCGUAGCUCAGUGGAUAGAGCAGAGGACUUCUAAUCCUAAGGUCGCAGGUUCGAAUCCUGCCGGGCGCACCC